UGCAAGUCGAACGGGAUUAGUUGUAUUUAUAUGACUAUGAGAGUGGCGCACGGGUGCGUAACACGUAUACAAUCUGCCCCAAACUGGAGGAUAGCCCGGCGAAAGUCGGAUUAAUACUCCAUAACAUUGCGAGAUGGCAUCAUCUUGUUAUUAAAGCUUCGGCGGUUUGGGAUGAGUAUGCGCAACAUUAGUUAGUUGGCGAGGUAAAAGCUCACCAAGACUACGAUGUUUAGGGGGUCUGAGAGGAUUAUCCCCCACACUGGUACUGAGACACGGACCAGACUCCUACGGGAGGCAGCAGUAGGGAAUAUUGGGCAAUGGACGAAAGUCUGACCCAGCCAUGCCGCGUGCAGGAUGACGGCCCUAUGGGUUGUAAACUGCUUUUAUAUAGGAAGAAACCCUUCUACGUGUAGAAGGUUGACGGUACUAUACGAAUAAGGAUCGGCUAACUCCGUGCCAGCAGCCGCGGUAAUACGGAGGAUCCAAGCGUUGUCCGGAUUUAUUGGGUUUAAAGGGUGCGUAGGCGGACUAUUAAGUCAGAGGUGAAAGUUUGCAGCUUAACUGUAAAAUUGCCUUUGAAACUGAUGGUCUUGAGUACAGUUGAGGUGGGCGGAAUGUGUCAUGUAGCGGUGAAAUGCUUAGAUAUGAUACAGAACACCGAUUGCGAAGGCAGCUCACUAAGCUGUAACUGACGCUGAGGCACGAAAGCGUGGGGAGCGAACAGGAUUAGAUACCCUGGUAGUCCACGCCCUAAACGUUGAAUACUCGUUGUUAGCGAUAUACUGUUAGCGACUAAGCGAAAGCAUUAAGUAUUCCACCUGGGGAGUACGACCGCAAGGUUGAAACUCAAAGGAAUUGA
rnacentral:rRNA from 1 species